AAACCCUGUCCUUUUGAUAUAAAUAAUUUAAGGUUUUAUUUGCCCCCUGAAGUAAUUUAAAGGGCCCCCGUAAUUUGACUGUGCAAAGGUAGCAUAAUAAAUAGUUUUUUAAUUGAAGACUGGAAUGAAUGAUUGAAUGAAAUUUUAACUGUUUCAUAUUAAUAAAUUAAAAUUUAAUUUUUUAGUUAAAAAGCUAAAAUAAUUUUAAAAGACGGGAAGACCCUAUAGAGUUUUAUGUUUAUAUUUUUUUAAAUUAUUUAUAAAAAUUAUUUAUUUAAUGAAAUAUAAAUAUUUUAUUGGGGUGAUAAAAAAAUUAAAUAAACUUUUUUAUAAAAAUACCUUAAUUUUUGAUUAAUUGAUCCAAUUUUUUUGAUUAUAAGAAUAAAUUACCUUAGGGAUAACAGCGUUAUUUUUUUUUUUAGUUUUUAUAAAAAAAAAAGUUUGCGACCUCGAUGUUGGAUUAAGAUAAAAUUUAAAUGCAAAAGUUAAAAUUU
rnacentral:rRNA from 1 species